rnacentral:rRNA from 1 species
GCGGCGGAGCAUGCGGAUUAAUUCGAUGCAACGCGAAGACCUUACCAAGGCUUGACAUACACCGGUAACGCCCAGAGAUGGGUGCCCCUUUGUGGUCGGUGGACAGGUGGUGCAUGGUUGUCGUCAGCUCGUGUCGUGAGAUGUUGGGUUAAGUCUCGCAACGAGCGCAACCCUCGUCCUAUGUUGCCAGCGGGUCAUGCCGGGGACUCAUGGGAGACUGCCGGGGUCAACUCGGAGGAAGUGGGAUGACGUCAAAUCAUCAUGCCCCUUAUGUCUUGGGCUUCACGCAUGCUACAAUGGCCGGUACAAAGGGCUGCGAUACCGCGAGGUGGAGCGAAUCCCAGAAAGCCGGUCUCAGUUCGGAUUGGGGUCUGCAACUCGACCCCAUGAAGUCGGAGUCGCUAGUAAUCGCAGAUCAGCAACGCUGCGGUGAAUACGUUCCCGGGCCUU